GGAGAGAUGCCAGAGCCUGGUUGAAUGGGGCCGCCUCGAAAGCGGCUGUACCUUCGGGUACCGGGGGUUCGAAUCCUCCUCUCUCCG
rnacentral:tRNA from 1 species